rnacentral:tRNA from 1 species
AAAGGUAUAACUCAGUGGUAGAGUGUGUGCUUAGCAUGCACGAGGUCUUGGGUUCAAUCCCCAGUAUCUCCA